rnacentral:lncRNA from 1 species
AACUCACAUAUAGAGUUUGUUAUGUUCUCAAGAUUCGAACAGUAUGUGAGAUUCAAGAAGCUUAGGCUAGACAAAUAUCUGAUUGAUGAUGGCAGUUCCUUUAUUGUAGAACAAAAAGAAAGAUCUAAUUGUGAUAGUUUAACCAUACAUGGUGAGACUUCUGGGAAUCUUUCAAGCCUCUCACAUCCAGAGACAAUUAGAUGUCUCAGCACUCACAUGGAAUCCCAUAAUCUACUUGGAUUUAAUCAACUGGUUUUGGAGUUCAACUAGCAUCAGAAAUGAAAGCAACGGAGCGCAGACAAUCGAAGCAACUGUCAAAAGAUGUAAAAUUGUCAUCACUAAGCAGUUUAUCAGAGACACAUUGAAGAUUGAUGACAAUGCUACUUAUCUUACCGACAUUGAUCUGCGAGUUGUUGAUGAGUACCUUGAAAAGAUGGGAUAUGAAGGCGUUUUCCCACCGACCCUCAAGAAGCUGCUACCUCCAUACCGAAGGUUUCUGGCGCAUGUGUUUGUUAACUGUAUAUCAGGGCGUAAGGGUGGAGCAGACGAGAUCUCUUCAAGGAAUACUCAAGCUAUUAUUGUACUGUCAGUAGGAAUCGACUUCAACUUCUCAAGAUUUAUCUUAGAAUAAAUGGUCACUAAUCUCAAAAAGAAGGCGAAGGACCAAUUCCUGCUUUACCCUCGGUUCAUCCAGAUCUUUCUCAACUGCCUUUUUCCAGACCUUUCCAAGACAUGAGAGAUUCUUGACAUGAAGGCUUUUGGACCAAACACAAUCAGUCUGAUGAAGCAAAAUCGAAAAGGGAAAAUCAUGUUCCAAGGAAAGUACCCUUUCGAGAAAUCUGGAAAAUUUGCCGAGCUGACCGACUCUUCUGGAUCCCGUGGGUCACCUGAGCAGACUUCAACUGAUCAUGCAUCAUCAGAUCAUACAAAUAUAAAUGAUGAUGUAAUCGACGUUUCAGACCAUGAGGAAGAAACUGUUGCUGCUCUAACUGGCAUUGUGGCUGAGGAGCAUAUUUUCACAAAUGUGACAGUUCAAAGUGAUUUUGAUGGAGGUUCCACAGAAUAAUUCACCGGAGCUGAGGAAGGAGAAGAGAAUGAAAGAGGUGAUCUGUCCGGCUAUGACAGAGAUGAUAUUGUUGAACAAUUCAUUGGACCUGAGUACACCUUGUCAAAUGAAGAUCUCGAUGACAUCUUCAAUGAUAUUAAUGAUGGUGCCAAUCCAAAACUGGAGAUAAGGAAAAAUUUUGACAAUCAAGAAGUUGAGUUUCCUGUUCUCGUUCAAGCGACUGAUUCUUCAAUUCAAAUGGACACCUCUUCAGGGAUUCCUCCCUUUGAAAGGGUUAUUCCUACAUCUGAGUCAAUUAUGAGUAAAGCCCAAACAGACUUGACCUCCCAGCCCCCGAUGAAAAGACGAAGAACUGAUCCAAGGGUGGGAGUUAUUUUUCCUGACCUAAUUCAAACCAUAGAGACUCCUCCACUCACAACUGCUGCCCCUUCUUCAUCCGUGCCUAUUCAGGAAGGCCCCAGCUCGAUUCAUGAAAUUGGUGGCUCAUCUGCUGGCUUGAGUUCGUCUCCUCCAAGGCCUUAUCAUGACGUUGCCUCUGAAAGGCUUACCAUGCAUUUAGCUCAUAAUUUAAGUCCAACACACUCCUCACGGGAAAAGGUAUAUCCUUUGAGGAGAAUAUAUCUGGAGAUGAUGACGUCUCAGUGCCUGAUUUGAGAAAGGAGUGAUUUGAGAAAGGAGACUGGUGUACUGAGCCAGAAGAAUAUCGAGCUUGAUAUCAAAGUUGUAGAUCUUCAAACUGAGAACGUCAAGCUCAAUACUCAUAUUGCUAAUCUUAUUAAAGAAAAUGCUCAGAAAACAAAGCACAUCACCGAUCUUCAGACACAUUUUGGUUUGUUGACCGCCAGUUAUUAUGAGUUGAAAAAGAAGCUGGAAGAAGAAUUUGGUGACAAAUUCAAAUCAUCUGUCAUUGAGGCUAGAAUUUAUCUUCUCAAUCAAGACGCUCCCAUUAUUCCAACUCCUACAAGAACAAACAGAAUUGUCGAUCGUUUUGACAAAGAACCAGCAUAGGCCCCAAAUGUCGUGGCGGCAAAACGUGCUAAACUAGACAAGUCUGCUGAGAAGGGUCAACAUUUGUUCAAGAAGAACUCGAAUCAGAAUGUUCCCGUGAAUCAACCAAAGAUCACCCUUAUGGACCUUGGAGAAAAUCGCUUCAGAAACACUACACUUAUGGUGAUAGGUCUGGGAUCAUCUCAUGGGGUUUCCAUGAUCCUCUGAAAAUGUGGAUCGUAAGAAGGAAGAGUGGAAAUACUGAAUUGUAUAAAUAUGCUCACGAUUUCAAUUCUUGGACCAAGGUUGAUCUUACGGAAUUGUCUAAAGCCCCGUUUUCAAAUCCAACAAAUGAACCCAAGGAAACACAAUUCAGGUUGUUUUUAGAAGGUCAAGUGGCAAAUGGCUUUCCAUCUAUGAAGACAACAUCGUCUAUCAUCAAGAUUUACCCUAAUGUCAUAGAUCCCAAAACCAAUCAGCCUUUUCGAUCUGUGAAGUGGCCCACAACCAAUCAAGUAAAGCAGAUUCCUAUCCUUUAGAACCAUCCAGAUGGAUCUCUACAAUUUAUGGAAUACUGGGUGUUUGAUGAAACCACAGCUGCUACUGUCAUCAAACUCAAGCAUGGGUAUAUUCGUCUUUAUGACAAGAGGGAUCUGCUACAGUUUGGAAGGAGGGAUAUCCAUGAGCUUUCUGUUCAUCAGAUCAAGGUGGCUGAAGAUACUUUUACGCCUGCUGCUAAGGAUUACACUUUAAUGGUGGCAUUCAUUAUUGAGAAGGAAAUAUGGAAUGCAGCUAUGGGAUAGUCAGAUGUGUUGGUGGUCGAUAAAGACUAAUUCAUGCUAGCCCCAAACCAAAGGGGAGAUUGAAGGGCCAAUAUAUUUGGUUUGGGCUAGGCAUUAAUGCAUGGAUGGUUUAGGAUUGUUAUUAAUGUGUUUUUUACAUCUUUUGUGUUUGUUUGAGUUCUCGGUCUAGGUAGGUUUUCGGUCAGGCUUUGACCGAAAACCUGUUUUCGGUCUGAUGUGUGUUACUAUAUAUUGUUGUCAGGUUGUCAGAGGCAAGUUUAGUUUUUCCAGCAAGUUUUCGGUCAAUCCAAGUUGUAUCCGACAUUUCAUAGUUGAAUUGUAUGCAAGCUUGGUUGUUUAAUCUUCUUCUUCUUCUUCUUCAUUUCUAUUGCAAUUGAUUGAUCAUUAGAUAGAUUUUACAGAUUUGGGACCUAACAUUACCUAUUGGCUGCCAAAUUAUCUCUUUAUCUCUCUCCUCUUAACAUGAUGUUAUAACAUUAUAAACACCACCCUCUCAUCUUGUUGCUUCUUGUUAUAACACCACUUUAGUUGCCCAUACCAUAUGCAUAUGCUCUUAUAGAAAGUAACUCAUUCCAUUCAAAGUUGGGGAAACUGAGAUCCAAGAGGAGAAACUAUGGAUGAACAUAUGGGAUUCCAGAUAUUGGGAUUUCUCAAACCUUUUCAUUCAAAGUUUUAAUUUAUUUUAGGGCUUUUACUCUUUUCCCCCUCUUUAACAACAUUUAUUUUUUUUUUCUUUUCUUGAUUUCAUUAUGUUUGUUUUUUUUAUUAGGUCAAGAGAAACUACUGAGGAAGAAUAUCAAGCCUUCAUGCUUAUCUAUCCCAACACUGGAAUCCUCUUUGCAUCGUGCCUAACAUUUUCAUGAAAAUCUCUUACGGCUUUAGGGAAUUUAAUUUCCAUGUAGUUUGGAUUAUUAUUAAAUCGAUGGUAAAUCGGAGGGUUAAAGGGCAUGUCAAGAAACGAGUACCAUUAGCAAUGAGUUUGAUUCUAAUCUCUUUUCAUAUUUUUUUACCUGAUUUAUUCAGUGUCACAUACACCGUUAUAAUCACCUGCAAUCAUCCAUUAACACCACUUCCGAUCAGUCAUCGUCAUUUAAACUAUUUUAGGGCUUCUUUCUUUUGUUCCUCUUUUAACUGCUUCAUUUAAGUUUUGUCAUUUGCUGAAUUUGUUUGUUGCUUUUUUUUUGUAAUUAGGUCAACAGAAACUGUGGGGGUCGAAGAUGAAGGUCUUCUCCAUCUAAUUAAUCAAUUCUCCAUUAUCUCUCUUUCUAUCUUCCCAAAGAACUACAACCAGACUCUUCGCAAAGUAAAUGAUUUGAGAAAUCGAUUGAAUUAAACUGGAGUGUAAUUGUUUUCAAUGUGAGAUUGUUUCGAGUUCUUGAUUAUAUAUGUUUAUGGGUAUGUUGUCUUUUUCUAGACCUUCUUUUCCCUUUUGAGGUCCUAUUGCUUUGGAACAUUGAGUUUACAUCAACGCCUCCUCUGUUUGCCGCCAUUCCUGGAUAGGUGUUUUUCAUGUUUAGUUCUAUUUUUGUAUUGUGGUUGAUGAAUCAUAUAGAAAUAUUCUAAUGAAAAAGACUUUGAUGAUGUUCCUUACGUGUUUCACAAAAUUCCUAUAGAGAUUUCUUUUCCCUAGAAAAUACAUCUGUGUGUCUCUUGGGAUUUAAAGACAAAAAUCAAUCAGCACUAUGUUAGUUUUGUUGGUUCUACAAGUGCCCUAAGUAGCAUGUAUAUUUUACAAAUUAAUUGCAUGAGUUUGUUUUCAUCUCUGUAUUUUUCUGUAGAUAUUUUCUUCUUUUAGAGAGAAUCACUGCCCUCUCAAGACAUGUUUCAAUGCCAAUGGAUGGAUUCUCUUCAUUUACUCGAUUAAAUUAAACAUGUAUGUCUUCUAUUUCUCAUGAUUAUUUCCAAGAAAACACACAUUCUGGUGGUUAUUACUUUGUGAAUUUACCGGACAAAUGAAUUUGCUGAUGAGUGAUUAGGAAAAUAAGAACCAAUUUGGUUGUUUGUUUGGUAAUAAAAAAUGAGUAAUUAGCAUUUUUGUCUUGAGAAUUCUACAAGACAGAUGAAUGCUUAGGAAGUAGAGAUUAAUGGAACAAAUUUCAAUCAAGUACAAUGUUGAUGAAGUUGUUGAUUGAGAUCACUAUCAAUAAAUCAGUAUUAUCGUUUUUAGUUUAGAGAAUUUACAAGAGAUGAAUUUGUAGAGUGGUUAGGACAAUAAAUCACAAUCGAAAUAUAAUGCUUAUGCGUCUGAUGUUUUUAACUUCAACAAAUGAGUAAUUAGCAUUUUUUAUUUUUGAAUUUUACAUGAAAGAUCAAUUUUUUAUUGAUGUGCGAUUUUGUAAAAUAGAGAUUGAUUUGAAAAGCAGCAACUGAAAUGCAAUGCCGAUGAAGUUAAUGCGUUCAACAAUUAAACGUGGGAUUUAUUUUGUUGAAGUUAUUUUUGCUAUUAUUGGUGUUGUCCAUAUCUCCGAGAGCAAGCAAGUCUCAAACAAUGUCGCACCAGUUAUAGAUGUUUUAUCUUCAAGUUUUUAUUAGCUCCAUUUUAUAGAUACGACUAGAUGCAAGGCAUAGCAAUGUACUUUCAUGUAUUUUUUUAUAUAACAUCCAACUAUUAUUUCUUAUUUUUACAACAUUGUACUUUAAAAAAUUUCUUAUUAGUAUACAUUAUGGUAAUCUAUGUGUGAUGCAUAGCACGGACCACGGAGCUUAGACUUCCCUGGUAUAUAGUAUAAAUUGUAAGACAGCUGUGUAAGUGUGCUCACUAGAUUUUGGACUGAACAACUUAAAUACACGGAUAGUUGUCUUCAAGUUUGCUUUCAGCCUCAAGGAAUCACAGUUGUUACUUUUGGAGACUGUAAUUCUUAUUUGUAUCAUUUUCUUCGAAUAGUGGACAGCAAAAAAUCCUUGGCCUGGAAAUUCAACAGAUGGUAUGUAAGCUGAUGAGGAAUAAACAUUUUUGCAACAAGAAUUUUUACAUGAAACACAUUAAAUAUUUGAUCAAGAAAAAUCAAUACAAUCAUCGGAGGGUGGCCUCGUAAAAGAAGACCCGUGUGACUUGUGGUUUUCUCUAAGGUUGUGUUUCCUAACGCUUAAAGAGUUGUUCUAGAUGCUGUAAGUUUAAUUUCUUCAUUUCAUUGUUUAACUUGUAUUCACAAGGUUUAUCAGCUUUUAAUCUUCACCAUUCAAAUUUAAUCCAAUAACCCAAAUUUCAUCUUAAAAUCUUUGGGACCCACUAUUAUAUAUGUAAUGUAUAAUAGUAGAGAUAUUGUAAAUUUAAAACCACUAAUCAACCCUCGUUUUCCCUUUUUUUUCUCUCACAUUAGCAUUCCUAACUCCAAGAUCAGUAAUAGGAUUCUCACGAUUCAGAAUAUAUCAUUUAAAACAGCUAGGAAGUUACCAUUUCCAAUCCAACGAGUAAAAAAAAGAGUAUAGUGAAAGACGGCAAAACAUUGGAUAGUGAAAAAAAGAGGUAACCUUGGAAUAAAAGGACCAGAUACCACCAUCUAAGAAAGACGGUGAGAAAGAAAAUAUGUGCUCUGUGUUGCGCCUUGCUGAGGUUCUACUUCUUAAAGGCAUCAAGCUCUUCGUAUCAAACUUUUCAUCAUAAAUGCGAAAGUUGCCAGAAAUAAUUUCAUCAUAUCCAAGAUCCUUAUCAUCAACAUGCACUACGUCCACGUAAUCAGAGAUUAAAGUUGUAAUCUGUUGAACGUCUUUUUUGUAGAUAACAUGUGCCCCACAUCUCACUGAUUCCACAUCAUAUCCUAAUGUUACAGUCAUGUCAAGAUUACCUUGAAUAUGAGACCAGUCUUCAGGUUGAAUAUCAUGAUAUAUCUGCUGAAAGACACCCAACGGGAUAUAGCUAAUCCACAGAUUUGUAUUCUCGGCUGUUUCAGUUGCAUUAACCUCCGGCUUAGGAAUGGCAGCUCCAUGCUUUGUAAUUCUGAAGAUGAUGCGCGGAUGCCUAAAUCUCCACCACUGGUAAGUAAACACGCCACAUACCACGAAACCCAGGAUCUCAGUAUGCCAUUUCUGAGGUAACUUGAGUACUAUUCUGCACCCAUCUAUUUGUUUUUCGAACCAGCUUGGAAUCAUACUUCCAGGGAUAGUAAUACUUAAUCGAUGAUUUACAGCAGCACAUUUCUGUAAUUAACAAAAACAAUCAUGCUUUCUUAAACAAUAUAAAAGUUGCUUCCAAGAUAUGGGGAGCAGGAAGCCUACGUUUGCUAGGACAUAACAAAACAUGAAUUGACUGAUAUUGCGUGAAAAAAGACCUGCGAGCAGCCUAAAUAAAUUAAAUGAUAUUAGAAAGAUAGAGAUGAACCACCUUAAUGAAAGAUAGUUGCAGCAUGUUAUCAAGGUAUCUUUGAUUCUCUUCAUCCUCUAAGAGUUUCUUGUUAUGACUCAGCCAUAUCUUAUACAACCAGUCACCCUCUUUUGAUAGAUCUCCGAUCUUUUCCAGUGAGAUACAAUCAUUUGCCUUCAAUACUUGUAUGCUUGAUGGGAGCCCACACAGUCUUUUAAGUCCGGGGCACUCAUUCAGCUCUAGCCGUUUAAGACGAGAAAGAUGGCAGAUGCUUGAAGGUAACUUCACUAAUUUAUGGUUGCCACUUAAAUAUAAUUCUUCCAAGGAGGACAGUUCAUCAAGAUUUUGGGGGAAUCUUUCCUCUUCAAUUUCUCUCCAACUGAGAUUUAGGUUUUUCAAGGAAGACAAACUUGUCAAACUAUGAAAGCCAACAGACUUAUGUGGUACUAAAAUGUUACACAUAAAUCCUAGCCACAGCUCUUCUAACAUUUUCAUGCUUCCAAGCUCCUUUGGAAAACUUUUCAGGUUCAUGCAGUUGUGAAGAGAAAUGAACUUAAGACACCUUAACUCACAAAUGGAGUUUGGUAUGUUAUCAAGAUUCCAACAGUCUGUGAGAUUCAAGAGGCUUAGGCUAGACAAAUAUCUGAUUGAUGAUGGCAGUUCCUUUAUAGUAUAACAAGAAGAAAGAUCUAAUUGUGAUAGUUUAACCAUACAUGGGGAGACUUCUGGGAAUCUUUCAAUGCUCUUGCAUCCAGAGAGAAUUAGAGUCUCCAAUGAUUCCAU